UGACGAAGUUGCCGCGAAGGAAGUCAAGCGAAAAUGCGGUACAAAAAGAGUUCAAUUUCGUUCUCGUCCCUCCGUGCAAGGUUAAAGAAUUCCGAGCGAGCUAAAAGAGAUAAUUGUGAGAUCAACCGUGGCCUCGAUUAAACAAAAGCAGAGAAGAAACUAGAGCAGACAGAAACAUCAAAGAAGAAGAAGAAAAAACAGUUCAAUCGAUGUUGACUUGAACAGGACCAGUGUCGAUAUUGAAAAGUUGCAUCGCUUAUUCGUCCACAAGUUUCGUUUUAAAUCGCGAUCUCGGAGUCACUCCCAAUCGAGUGAAAUUAAAGCGAACGACGCGCGAGCAUCGUUCUGAAAUAUAUUAAAGAAAA